UAACCCUUUUAAUUCUGUUUUUUGUCAAUAGUUCCAAUGCAGUCAGUUGCUACAGAAAGCACUGCUGGAGUCUUCUAAGGCUGUAAAUUAGCAGAGAAUUGCACUGGCAGAUGUUCACAGUUCCUUUCCAUAUUGCACUUCUCAAAUAAAAGCACAGCUGGGGAUGAGACAGUGAAUUUUUUGAAGUGCAGCCAUUGCUUGGAAACUGGCUGGACAUUGAUCCACUGGUCAGCUUGAGCUUUCUGAAAGUCAUAAUGUCACUACUUUGAGUAAAUGUUCGUAUUUUCAGUCAUUACAGUGCAACAACUCUACCCAAAAAGUGGUGAACUGAGCAAGUAAGAAAAGGAGUAUUAAUCUUUCUAUAUAAAUUUGUCAGUUCUGAAAUUGGAAGUGCUCCUCAGUGGAAGAGAUUUUAUUACCCUCACUCAGAAGAAAAACAUGAUUCAGGUUUCGGCUAUUGAGUUGGAGAUCCUGGAGUAAAGGCAGCCUGUUCAGAAAUGAAGUGGAACAGCACUCUCCUGGACCUCUCUAGGCUGUCUUGGAGGUUUGUCUCAUAGCACGUUCACCCUGUUAUAGCCUAACUAAGUCACUUCCCAAGAGGAUAUAAUUAAAAGCACAUGGAUUUCUGACCAAAAUGGAUUAUGUUUGCUGAAUAGGCCAAUCUUGUGAAAGAGACUGUAUCAAUCUCUUCAUCUGAAUACAAAAGGAAGCAGAAGAUAACGGAAAGAAAAAUACACUGCAGGAGAAAGAGUAAUUGCUUUCUGUGGCAACCCCAAGAAAGAAGAGCAUGGCCAUGGAAGAGGACUGGCAGAAAAGAGCUGAGAGGGGAACAGCAUCUAGCAUGCUGUGGGAUCACAGAGCAGAGAGGUGAAAGAGUGGAUAUAUAUAACUGAUAAACACGGACAACUUUAUCUCCUCCCAGUUCCAGUGUGGCAGCCAGAGGAUGUAACUCAGGAGGAAAAAGCAUUCAGCUUCUGAGGAGACACAUCUUAGUCAGCUGGUACUCAUCAUCACACUAUUCUAAAAGUUGGGCAUUUGAGCUAAGUGUAAAAUUUAGAUUUCAUGAUGAUGUUGACUCUUUUGAAGAGCACUUGCUAUCAUAAGAAGGCAACUUCACUCACCAUGAAGUUUGGUCAAGAGCAGAAGGCUUCCUUCGCCAAGUAAUUCAUGAGCCCAACCAGAUGUUCAGCCCUUCUGAGAAAGCUACCAUGAAAAGUUACAAGGCUGUUUGAUAAAGAUCCACAUGGGCUCCUUCCAACUUGAAAGCAAUAAUAACCGUUCAAAUUCUGGAACCUGCAAGUGUGCAAGCAGUACCAUUAAUAUUUGAAGCCAGCAGGAAAAAACUGCCCAGUGACACUGACUGCAGAACUUCUAUCACUACACUUACUUCUACUGUUCUUUGAUAAUGAAAGAGGCAAGAUUUGCAUGAAAAAGCAAAAUCUCUUAUACCAGAUGGUAGAGGCAAAAGCAAUGGACAGAGUUCCAGGCACUCACUUCUGAAGCAGAGGCAUGCUGCGAUGCAGUAGAGACUAGGAACAGCUGUCCUGACUUGCCAGGAAUUUCAGUUAUUGGUUGCUGUGAGAACAGUUAGAAUCAUUGCAAUCCAAUUUUUUAAAACUUCACAAGUUCCAGGAGUCUAACGCAGAAAAUGAAAUUUUGUGGAAAGUCGUGAUGUUUAAGACAAUGAGCCUGCCUGGAUCCCAUUCAGUUGACAUAGAGUCCCUUGGCAGGCAGCGAAGGUCCUGCCUUCUAUUAACAGUUGUACCUGGGAUGUGAUAAAGCCCACAGUGAAAGAAAUGACCUUUCACCCCUCCAGUCUGAAAUCACAAGGGAAGUGAAGAGAUACACCACACCAGAGGCUGACGGUCAAAUGGAAGAACAGCAAUCACCAGAGCUGGUUGUCUCUACUGGAGAGCAUCAGUCAGGAAGGAGUUGACAACUGAGCUGCUCUGGGGAAGGAAGACUGGAGGAAAUAAGGAUAUGGAGCCUAAAUGUCUCAUCUUCAUGUAAACGGGGCUGCCAGCUCAGCCAGAUGCACAGACUUCAGGAGUACAGAAAUGAAUUGUUCCACAGUUCGCAGAAAGAGAGCUUCUCAGAAAUAAUUUUAUCGGGGAGAAUAAUUUCAGUAAACCUGGUAUUCAGAGUUGCUGAAGAUUUUGCUUUGUUUCAUGAGAACAUCAUACGGCAUGUGCAGGACAACUAGAGGAUCUGACCCAGCCAGCAUGGGUUCAUGAAAAAAUUUUCUGUUUGAAAGAACCUCCACUUUUCUGCCACCAAAUUGUCGUGGAAUUCAUUACCUCCAAUGAGUGAAAAAAACUUGCCUGUCGAGGAUAGCACAUGAGAACACGUCUCCCCAUGGCAGAGAGGGCAAAAUGAAAUGAAGGUCUCCUUGAUCCCGAGAACAUCAGCUCACUCGGCAUUGAUGGGAACACCACAUUGUGAUUCUCCACCCCCAGUCAAAAAGGACUUGUUCUUGCACAGCUUUUGAAAGAAAGAGUACGGCACCUUUGCAUUCUGGACAAUGGAUGGAGAUUACUCUAUGAAAAUCCCUGUGGAAAAUCCCACCUCUCCAUGCCAGCUUUACCUUCUGAUGCCUGCGGGCACUUCCCUGAGGAGAACAGGGCUAUCUAAUUCUGAUCAGGUUGCCAUCCCAUGCACUCUAGCGGCAGCUGCACGGAAGAAAGUUGUCUGUAUCCUGCUAGGCUCAGCUUCCAAUAUUGCUGAAGAGAAUACAGAGCCAGUGAAGAGUCACCCCCCAUAUCAGGUGAAAGCAUAAAAGUUACAGAGCCAAAUGUUUCAAGCACAGUCUGUAUCUCCUUCAUCACUGCUUGCCAGGCACAGCCCACAUAGUCCCUGUGGCAUCAAGCUAUAGAAGCAGGUCUGGCAUCAGCAUGUUCUGCAGAGCAGGUAAGAUGCUCUGCAUAGAGCCCUGCUGGGGAGAUCUCAUCUGAGCUAGGAAAAGCAAAAUCCAUUGUCAGUAGUUGCAUGUUAUUGUCUUUUUUUCCUUUGCCCUUUUGUCCUGUUAGUUUCACUGAACAUCAUGCUGCUGAGAAUUUACAAGGCUGGCAGGGUCUAGAUUUCAUCUACUCUGAUAUAACUAUUAGACUGUGAUGAUAAAUGAGUUGUUUUUCCUUGGGGAAGUUAAGUUUUGCAGCUAGCUUUUGCUACCAUUUCUUCUCCCAUACUGCAUGCCAGGCCAAAUGCCUCCUUGUUCAUGUCCUCAGGCUUCUUGGAAAUAUCUGGAGAAAAAGCCUCCACUCCUCUAGUUUCAGUGCAGAUGGGAGAAUAGUCAAGAAAACAAUAAAGAACAAAGCUGUGAAAGUUCUACCUCAACUGAAUAUCACCAUCUCUGAGUUACUUGAUCAGAUGCUGUUUUGGUGGUGUUUACUUUUGUACAAUUUUAAUUUUGUUUAAAAUAAAACUUAAAUCAGCAUAGGAUUUGUACCUUAAAUAAUCGUUAAGAUUUCUCUGCAUGGUUUCCAACAGAACUGCAUGGAUUUUGUGUUUUUUUUCUACGUAGCAAGACAAAGCAUAAGGUCAGCGAGACUAUUUUGUUGUCAUUUCUAUAAUAGUGUUUACAAAGGCAAAAAGGCUGUGGGGCAUUUUUUUUGGUUAAUUCAUGUACAGUUUUUCCUGUAUUUAAAUGAUUCCAGCUUGCAUAUAUCUUUAUUGCUUGCAAAAUAAAUCUCAGUUGACAUCCAAAAUGCUAUUGGCAUGGGGCACAGUUAUUAUUCCAGUGCUCUUGGCUCAAACAGCAUUUUUGCACUACCAGGGGAUUUAAAUGUUACGCAUUUCCUUUAUUACUCUGGACCUUCCGAAAAUGACAUGGGAAGAGAACAAAUGACAAAUACAUUAUCUUUUGGAUGUCAAAAAUGUUUCCUUAAAAUUUGAACCAAAGCCUGCUUUUCAGUGAGCAGCAGGGCAGAGACGAGCAGAAAAGCAGAAUGUAGAAGAAUUUUAAUGAGUCUCAUGCUACCCAGACACUGUCUUUUGCUGUUUUUCUCCAGACUUUGUGCCACUGAGUAUUUUGGAAUUGCCAUUUCUAGUUCAUUAAAAUAUAAAAGAAAACAGGUAAUGCAGCUCAUGCAGGGAGAUUUGUGAAAUGAUGAGUCAGGAUGGACUGCAAGAAUCUUUUAAAUAAAGAAAACAUAGAUAUGUAAGCAUCCGUCAUCUACACAGGCAAGUGAUGGGCAAUGCAGAAAGUACUUGCCACGUCACUGACCUGUUUGGGCUGCUGCAAAGCUUCAGGACUCACUCACUGAAAUGUCUGAGCUGGCACUUCCAAACGUUCUGCUCCUCAUUUAAUCUCCGUUUCUGAUUUUCAUGGCUACAGAGAUGAGAAAAAUACAUUGCUGUGUCUAGAUGCAGUAAUGUGGGAACUCAAAGCACCCUAUGAACUCCAAUUCUCAAUAUUUCUUCAAACUAGACUUAAUUUUGAAGGCUGAAGAUUGAUUUUCUGAGAUAGACUCCAGAAGCUUAAAAAAAAGAGAAGUGCAAUAAUAACCUUAAAAGACUGUAAAAGAGAGGAAAGUUCAGGUGAAGCAGUAUUACUACGAAAGACAGUUCUCUCACAGAAAUUCUUGUACAAUUUUAGGAAACUGCUGACACGAAGAGCUGACAAGGUGUUUAGACAAUUCCUACCUAAUAUGUUCCUUCUGUCAGGACAAAUUCUGCCAUUUGUUAUUUUUUAAUAGUGAUAAUACUGAACAGUAUAAAGGAGGAAUAGGCAUAACUCACAACUAUGUGAGCUUAAAAACAAAAAUCCAACUGCCAGUAAUGUGUACGUAUAACAUGGACUUGAAGGCACGUUUUUGCAUACAAAGUUUCCCAGUUUCUAAAGAUGUGUUCCAAAAUAUAUUAAAAGCUGUAACUGAAAUUAUGUGAUUGUUAGACAGUAAAACUGAGGUAAAGGCGGGUAGUGGCAUAUCAGUACAGAAGAUAUUAAAGCACACUGCUAAAAUGGACAGUGGUAAAACAACAGAAUUCAGAGGAAGGCUGAGGAUGAAAAGCUCAACUCAAUAACCAAAAAAAAAAAAAAGAAAAAGCUUUACUUGCAAUCCUGCCAAAGCUGUCUAUUAUCUAGCAAAGUAUUUUUAGAAGUUUUUUGUAGUGCUUUCAUCAGUCGCUGUAAAUUGAAGAUCGGUGAGCCUUGCAUCAAUAUAAAAGAAGUUAGAUACAAUAAUCAUUAAAUUUAGAGUUUUAAAUAAUGUAAUCCCGAGCUGUAGUGGCUUUUUAAAAGAAAAUCAAAGUGAGCUUGAAAGAUCAUGAGAUAAAAGUGUAAGAGAAAAUAAUCUUGUAAGGAAAACAAAGCAAUAAUUGAUCUCUGACAUAUAUUCGGUAUUCAGAAAGAUAUGGA